rnacentral:rRNA from 1 species
AUUGAACGCUGGCGGCAUGCCUUACACAUGCAAGUCGAACGGUAACGCGGGGCAACCUGGCGACGAGUGGCGAACGGGUGAGUAAUGCAUCGGAACGUGCCCGGUAGUGGGGGAUAACUGCUCGAAAGAGCAGCUAAUACCGCAUACGACCUGCGGGUGAAAGGUGGGGAUCGCAAGACCUCUCGCUAUCGGAGCGGCCGAUGUCGGAUUAGCUAGUUGGGGGGGUAAAGGCCCACCAAGGCAACGAUCCGGAGCUGGUCUGAGAGGACGACCAGCCACACUGGGACUGAGACACGGCCCAGACUCCUACGGGAGGCAGCAGUGGGGAAUUUUGGACAAUGGACGCAAGUCUGAUCCAGCCAUGCCGCGUGCGGGAAGAAGGCCUUCGGGUUGUAAACCGCUUUUGUCAGGGAAGAAAUCUUCUGGGUUAAUACCUCGGGAGGAUGACGGUACCUGAAGAAUAAGCACCGGCUAACUACGUGCCAGCAGCCGCCGUAAAAC